rnacentral:rRNA from 1 species
GAUGAACGCUGGCGGCGUGCCUAAUACAUGCAAGUCGAGCGAACAGAUGAGGAGCUUGCUCCUCUGACGUUAGCGGCGGACGGGUGAGUAACACGUGGAUAACCUACCUAUAAGACUGGUAAAACUUCGGGAAACCGGCGCUAAUACCGGAUAAUAUAUUGAACCGCAUGGUUCAAUAGUGAAAGACGGUUUUGCUGUCACUUCUAGAUGGAUCCGCGCCGCAUUAGCUAGUUGGUAAGGUAACGGCUUACCAAGGCAACGAUGCGUAGCCGACCUGAGAGGCUGAUCGGCCACACUGGAACUGAGACACGGUCCAGAGUCCUACGGGAGGCAGCAGUAGGGAAUCGUCGGCAAUGGGCGAAAGCCUGACGGAGCAACGCCGCGUGAGUGAUGAAGGUCUUCGGAUCGUAAAACUCUGUUAUUAGGGAAGAACAAAUGUGUAAGUAACUAUGCACGUCUUGACGGUACCUAAUCAGAAAGCCACGGCUAACUACGUG